CCUACGGGGGGCUGCAGUGAGGAAUAUUGGUCAAUGGGCGCGAGCCUGAACCAGCCAAGUAGCUUGAAGGAUGACUGCCCUACGGGUUGUAAACUUCUUUUAUAAAGGAAUAAAGUGAGGCACGUGUGCCUUUUUGUAUGUACUUUAUGAAUAAGGAUCGGCUAACUCCGUGCCAGCAGCCGCGGUAAUACGGAGGAUCCGAGCGUUAUCUGGAUUUAUUGGGUUUAAAGGGAGCGUAGAUGGGUUGUUAAGUAAGUUGUGAAAGUUUGCGGCUUAAACGUAAAAUUGCAAUUGAUACUGGCAGUCUUGAGUACAGGUGAGGUAGGCGGAAUUCGUGGUGUAGCGGUGAAAUGCUUAGAUAUCACGAAGAACUCCGAUUGCGAAGGCAGCUUACUAAACUGCCACUGACAUUGAUGCUCGAAAGUGUGGGUAGCAAACAGGAUUAGAUACCCCUGUAGUC
rnacentral:rRNA from 1 species